rnacentral:rRNA from 1 species
AGUGAACGCUGGCGGCGUGCUUAACACAUGCAAGUCGAACGAGAACGGAUUAUAGCUUGCUAUAAUUGUCAGCUAAGUGGCGCACGGGUGAGUAAUGUAUAGGUAAUAUGCCUCUUACUAAGGGAUAACAAAUGGAAACGUUUGCUAAUACCUUAUACUCCUUAUUAACAGAAGUUAAUAAGGGAAAGAUUUAUUGGUAAGAGAUUAGCCUGUAUUGUAUCAGUUAGUUGGUGGGGUAAUGGCUUACCAAGACUAUGACACAUAACUGGUUUGAAGGUAGGAAGAUGAACAGGGGAACAGAGACACGGCCCAAAUUCCUGCGGGAGCCAAUAGGGGGAAAUAUUGCACAAGGGACAAAUGUCUGUUCCAGCACCGCCGCUUAGGUAAAUACAAAUUUUGGUGCGAAACCUCUUUUUAUUUGAAAAGAUAAUGCCGUUUUUAUAGAAAAAAGCCCCGACAACCCCCGUGCCACCCCCCGCGGUAA